CCUACGGGGUGCAGCAGUCGAGAAUCAUUCACAAUGGGGGAAACCCUGAUGGUGCGACGCCGCGUGGGGGAAUGAAGGUCUUCGGAUUGUAAACCCCUGUCAUGUGGGAGCAAAUUAAAAAGAUAGUACCACAAGAGGAAGAGACGGCUAACUCUGUGCCAGCAGCCGCGGUAAUACGGAGGUCUCAAGCGUUGUUCGGAAUCACUGGGCGUAAGGCGUGCGUAGGCUGUUUCGUAAGUCGUGUGUGAAAGGCGCGGGCUCAACCCGCGGACGGCACAUGAUACUGCGAGACUAGAGUAAUGGAGGGGGAAGCGGAAUUCUCGGUGUAGCAGUGAAAUGCGUAGAUAUCGAGAGGAACACUCGUGGCGAAGGCGGGUUCCUGGACAUUAACUGACGCUGAGGCACGAAGGCCAGGGGAGCGAAAGGGAUUAGAUACCCGAGUAGUC
rnacentral:rRNA from 1 species